UACAGAGGGGGCGAGCGUUGUUCGGAAUUACUGGGCGUAAAGGGCGCGUAGGCGGCCAACUAAGUCAGACGUGAAAUCCCUCGGCCAACCGGGGAACUGCGUCUGAUACUGGAUGGCUUGAAUUCGGGAGAGGGAUGCGGAAUUCCAGGUGUAGCGGUGAAAUGCGUAGAUAUCUGGAGGAACACCGGUGGCGAAGGCGGCAUCCUGGGACCGAGAUUGACGCUGAUGCGCGAAAGCCAGGGGAGCAAACGGG
rnacentral:rRNA from 1 species